rnacentral:rRNA from 1 species
CGCCCGGGGCGCGCCCCGGGCGGGGCGGGGGCACGGGGGUUGGAGGGCAAGUCUGGUGCCAGCAGCCGCGGUAAUUCCAGCUCCAAUAGCGUAUAUUCAAGUUGUUGCAGUUAAAAAGCUCGUAGUUGAAUUUUGGGCCUGGCUAGACGGUUUAACCGCAAGGUUAACACUGUCUUGGUUGGGCCUUUCCUUCUAGGGAA